GUCGGCGUCGGCAUCUGCAUCGGCGUUGCACUUGUUCACAAGCUGACCCUGUAUAGCAAGAAACAUAACUCCAUCUUGAUUUUUGCAAGAUUUAUGGCCCCUUUUGUACUUAGAAAAUAUCAGAUUUCUUGGUUAAGUUUUAUGUUUAGGUCAACUUUUCUCCUAAACUAUCAAAGCUAUUGCUUUGAAACUUGAAAUACUUGUUCACCAUCAUAAGCAGACCCUGUACAUCAAGAAACAUAACCCCAUCUUGCUUUUUGCAAGAAUUAUUGCCCCUUUUGGACUUAGAAAAUCAGUUUUCUUGGUUAAGUUUUAUGUUUAGGUCAACUUUUUCUCUUAAACUAUCAAAGCUAUUGCUUUGAAACUUGCAACACUUGUUCACCAUCAUAAGCUGACCCUGUACAGCAAGCAACAUAACUCCAUCCUGCUUUUUUGCAAUAAUUAUUGCCCCUUUUGGACUUAGAAAAUCAUUUUCUUGGUUGAGUAUUAUGUUUAAGUCAACUUUUCUCAUAAACUAUCAAAGCUAUUGCUUUAAAACUUGCAACAGUUUUUCACCAUCAUAAGUGGACACUGAACAUCAAGAAACAUAACUCUAUCCUGCUUUUUGCAAGAAUGAUGCCCCUUUUUAGACUUAGAAAAUCAUGGGUAGGACAAUAUUUCUA